rnacentral:rRNA from 1 species
UGAACGCUGGCGGUAUGCUUAACACAUGCAAGUCGAACGGAAACGAUACUAGCUUGCUAGUAGGCGUCGAGUGGCGGACGGGUGAGUAACGCGUAGGAAUCUGCCUGAUAGUGGGGGAUAGCCCGAAGAAAUUCGGAUUAAUACCGCAUAAUCUAUUCGUAGUAAAGUGGGGGACUUUCGAGCCUCACGCUAUCAGAUGAGCCUGCGUAAGAUUAGCUAGUUGGUAGGGUAAAAGCCUACCAAGGCGACGAUCUUUAGCUGGUCUGAGAGGAUGAUCAGCCACAUCGGGACUGAGACACGGCCCGAACUCCUACGGGAGGCAGCAGUGGGGAAUAUUGGACAAUGGGGGCAACCCUGAUCCAGCAAUACCGCGUGUGUGAAGAAGGCCUGAGGGUUGUAAAGCACUUUCAAUUGUGAAGAAAAGCUAGUGGUUAAUAGCCAUUAGCCUUGACGUUAACUUUAGAAGAAGCACCGGCUAACUCCGUGCCAGCAGCCGCGGUAAUACGGAGGGUGCAAGCGUUAAUCGGAAUUACUGGGCGUAAAGCGUGCGUAGGCGGUUUAUUAAGUCAGAUGUGAAAGCCCCGGGCUUAACCUGGGAACUGCAUUUGAAACUGGUCAACUAGAGUAUGGUAGAGGAAAGUGGAAUUUCUGGUGUAGCGGGUGAAAUGCGUAGAUAUCAGAAGGAACAUCAAUGGCGAAGGCAACUUUCUGGACCAAUACUGACGCUGAGGUACGAAAGCGUGGGUAGCAAACAGGAUUAGAUACCCCUGGUAGUCCACGCCGUAAACGAUGAUAACUAGCCGUUGGGGGGAUUUACCCCUUAGUGGCGAAGCUAACGCGUUAAGUUAUCCGCCUGGGGAGUACGGCCGCAAGGUUAAAACUCAAAGGAAUUGACGGGGACCCGCACAAGCGGUGGAGCAUGUGGUUUAAUUCGAUGCAACGCGAAGAACCUUACCUGGUCUUGACAUCCUGCGAACUUUCUAGAAAUAGAUUGGUGCCUUCGGGAACGCAGUGACAGGUGCUGCAUGGCUGUCGUCAGCUCGUGUCGUGAGAUGUUGGGUUAAGUCCCGUAACGAGCGCAACCCCUAUCCUUAUUUGCCAGCACAUCAUGGUGGGAACUAUAAGGAGACUGCCGGUGAUAAACCGGAGGAAGGCGGGGACGACGUCAAGUCAUCAUGGCCCUUACGACCAGGGCUACACACGUGCUACAAUGGGAAGGACAAAGAGCCGCGAAGCCGCGAGGUGUAGCUAAUCUCAGAAACCUUUUCGUAGUCCGGAUUGGAGUCUGCAACUCGACUCCAUGAAGUCGGAAUCGCUAGUAAUCGUAGACUCAGAAUGCUACGGUGAAUACGUUCCCGGGUCUUGUACACACCGC